AGUUCCAGUUCCAUUCAACAAAUAUUUAUUAUCUUCCAUAUACAAAUAAUUCAUUUAUUAAACUUAUUUUUAGUUCAGCAUUCUAGAAGUGAAACCUGAUUUUUGACUUAAACCUAUCCUACGAAAUAUAGCAGUUACCCUAAUCUUGAUGCCAAAAAGCUCUGCAGCCUUUCUCUGUGCACUCUUGAUGGUUCUUGGCAGACACCCAGCAGCCGUGAUGAACGUAUAAUGAGACUUGACGGCAGACCUGAUGCGUUACAUUCAUGAAGCUUCCAUCGUGUGCUUUCUCUGCACUGUUUUCCCGUGACACUGUCCUGUUGUUUGUGGAGAUGUAGAGUCUGCAUGUGGUCCGGCCCUUCUCACCACGUGGGGCGGGGAGGAAGAAGAAAGGUCUAGAAGGAGCUGAGCUGCCGCUUUCUCCCUGAGGCCGAGUCGCCGGCAGCCGCAGAGGCCUCACCAGCAGCAGGUGCUGAUCUCAGGGUCAUGAGACUGAGCGCAGCGUGGAGUCCGCCAGAGUUCCUCUCUCCCCCCUUGGCCCUCCUGCUACUCGUCUCUUUCUCACUCUCUCAGAUCGUUCUUUUAAAUGAAAAUACUGACAUGCUGACUGUCUUUGGGGAGAGGAGUGUCCUUUUAAGUGACCCAGAGUACUUUCUCAGGCAUUUAUAAAAAGAGCCUUUUCCUCUCCUGAA